rnacentral:rRNA from 1 species
UUAAGCAUAUCAAUAAGCGGAGGAAAAGAAACCAACAGGGAUUCCCUUAGUAACGGCGAGUGAAGCGGGAACAGCUCAAAUUUGAAAUCUGGCCUGUAUGGGCCUGAGUUGUAAUUUGUAGAGGAUGUUUCGGGCAAGGCAUUGGUGUAAGUUUCUUGGAACAGAACGUCAUAGAGGGUGAGAGUCCCGUCUAGCACCGGCCGCCGCGUCCAUGUGAAACUCCUUCGACGAGUCGAGUUGUUUGGGAAUGCAGCUCAAAAUGGGUGGUAAAUUUCAUCUAAAGCUAAAUAUUGACCGGAGACCGAUAGCGCACAAGUAGAGUGAUCGAAAGAUGAAAAGCACUUUGAAAAGAGAGUUAAACAGUAUGUGAAAUUGUUGAAAGGGAAGCGCUUGCCACCAGACUUGAGCGUGACGGCUCCCCUCGUCUUCUGACGGGGCUAUUCCGUCAUGUCCAGGCCAGCAUCGGUCCGGGUGGUCGGUUAAAGGCUUUGGGAAUGUAUCUUAUCUUCGGGUAAGACUUAUAGCCCAGGGUGUAAUGCGGCCUACCCGGACCGAGGAACGCGCUUCGGCUCGGAUGCUGGCGUAAUGGUUGUAAGCGGCCCGUCUUGAAACACGGACCAAGGAGUCUAACAUCUAUGCGAGUGUUAGGGCGUCAAACCCUUGCGCGUAAUGAAAGUGAACGGAGGUAAGAACCUUAANNNGCGCAUUAUCGACCGAUCCUGAUGUCUUCGGAUGGAUUUGAGUAAGAGCAUAGCUGUUGGGACCCGAAAGAUGGUGAACUAUGCCUGAAUAGGGUGAAGCCAGAGGAAACUCUGGUGGAGGCUCGCAGCGGUUCUGACGUGCAAAUCGAUCGUCAAAUUUGGGUAUAGGGGCGAAAGACUAAUCGAACCAUCUGGUAGCUGGUUCACGCCGAAGUUUCCCUCAGGAUAGCAGUAACGUUUUCAGUUUUAUGAGGUAAAGCGAAUGAUUAGAGGCCUUGGGGUUGAAACAACCUUAACCUAUUCUCAAACUUUAAAUAUGUAAGAAGUCCUUGUUACUUAAUUGAACGUGGACAUUUGAAUGUAUCGUUACUAGUGGGCCAUUUUUGGUAAGCAGAACUGGCGAUGCGGGAUGAACCGAAAGUGAGGUUAAGGUGCCGGAAUAUACGCUCAUCAGACACCACAAAAGGUGUCAAUGCAUCCAGACAGCCGGACGGUGGCCAUGGAAGUCGGAAUCCGCUUAGGAGUGUGUAACAACUCACCGGCCGAAUGCAUUGGCCCUGAAAAUGGAUGGCGCUUAAGCGUGUUACCUACACCUCGCCGUCAGGGUUAUAAUGAUGCCCUGACGUGUAGGCGUGCGUGGAGGUUUGUGACGAAGCCUUGGGGAUGACCCCGGGUCGAACAACCUCUAG